ACAAGGUUUGAAAGAAAACCCUCCACAAAACGACUUUCUUCCCACUUCAGUCCGCUCACUUCGUCAGCGCUGGUCAGACUCGAGAGAUGGCUCAAGUUAAGCUGAAACAGACCAGGAGCGUCCCGCUUCAGGAGCGUCCCACAUCAGCAGCUAGGCUCUAAUCCCAUUGGCAAGGUCGAAUGUUUGAAACAUCGUUGACAUUUAAUGCUUAAGUCCCGAAAAAUCUAAACGGAGGAGAAAACACUUCAGGCGUGUAUGACAUCCGACGGAAUAGUAAUGUGCAACAAUACAGUUCGGGGAAACCACCGGAAUCUUGCCGCCGGGUGUACGUAUUCCCAAGAGGAGAGAACCACAAGAUGAUUCGGUUGAUUUAACAGAAGAUUAAUUGGCUUCUAUCCAAACUCGUAACAUCUAAAAACUAAUAGGCGCAUUUAGGACCAGCACCAUGCUGAUUUCAUAUGAAAAUAUUGUGGAGAAGCCUCUCCGUUCGGGUCAUCGCUCUUUUUCCGCCUAUGUUACAAGAGAUAUACCGGAAUUAAACUCGUAGUAAAAUCUAUAAAAGCGGUUCGCAAUACAAGCUUCCAGAAGCCUCCGCAGGUUUCCAAACGACGAAGUUAGCUUCCAGCCUCUCACAUACAUUCGUCGAGCUUACACCAUAGAUCAAGUCGUUAUUGUGCUCACUACAUCCGUUUGUGUCGCACAAUGGUUGCGUGGUCACAUUAUGUCGCUGAUUGCUCUCGUGUAAAUCUGUUGGUGAUCUUCUAAGUAAUAGGGUUCCUCACCGCAGUAGGAAUGGCCAUCGUCGACAUUCUUUUCUGCCUUCAGUUAACACCUGGUGUUGAUGAGCUUAUCAUCUUGCCUACACAGCAGACUUGGCAAACCAUUGUUCAAGCAUUUCAAUCUGGAUAACUCGGACGUGCCGCGCAUAGUCGGGUGUUAUGCUGUGCUCGUUUUUCUCCUACCAUUUUGCUCCAGCAUCUUCUUCGUGGUGGCAUUACACGUUUACUAUACUAAUUCUUCAAAAGAAUGCGUGGAAUCCAGCUCAGUGCAUAGUCGGGAAAUGAUUCCUACUUCGUGAUCCAUUACGAAACUUCUAGUAGAUACCAACCGUGGAUGGGUACGCGAAAAGUUGUGUCAGAAACUUUCCGGUUUCUAUAAUUGUAUUUGAAAACUCGUUUAACUGUUGGAGGGAGAAACUCUGGAACGGGAAAUGAGCGACAUGAUGAUGUGAGUAUAGCUUACACGCCGAGGUACAUUGGCAAAGAUUGAACGCACGCUUUAAUAUUUAAAAUAUGGAAUAAAAACGGACGCAAAAAUAAUUUUUAUCUAUAAGCGAACGGUAAAGUUUUGGUAUCCCAAUUUACUUGAUUUUUUUUAGAUCGUUGUUGUUGUUGUUAUUGUUGAUGUUAUUGUUUGGGUUUGUAGGCUUUCGAAUGGAAGUUUUUGAAAAGUUGGAAAAAGAACACCGUUUGCACGAGAGCGUACCACGAGAAGGCAGUCGGGAAAUUACAUUCGAUGAACAGCAACUGAAGUCCGUGCAAGCCAACAAGAAAGAACUGGACCAUUUGGAAAACGGUCAAAUAUUUCUUCCACCACAGAUACUUUUGAACUCGUGGACCCAUCGCUGCCAUCAAAUAGUAGAAGUACAUAAUAAAGUGCACCAAACUGUUGAAAGUGGGGAAGGAAGGAAGCUUGACCACCCGGAAUGAAACGGAAGACAAUCCAUACGGUCAGCGGAAUGCUGGCAUGGUGGAAAACAUGCAGGAAGGUGAUUUGAUUAUCCUUUUUACGCAUGAUGAAAAACAAGUGCAUCCUCGUUGUCGGAGUAAUCCACCGGCUGGCAAAUGAAACUGUAACCGUUGAACCACGUUAGACGGCAAAUAUGGUAGAACAUCCAGCCAUUGAAAACAAUUUGGAACGCGUUGUAAACCAUAAGUGCACCUCGCAACUCAAAGGCUGGCCGGUUUUUCAUUAGUUUUGGACCCAGUAUUUUGACUACAAAUAGGUAAGCCAAGCAAAUCAGCACAGGCGUUUGCGGAUUUUCCGUCAGGAACCAUCCAUCUGUACGCCUAUCUGUUAAGAAACACAAACUCGUACUCGUAAGAUGUGGGAAAGCAAAUAUCUUUUAAUCGUGUAAAAACAUUUUGACACAAGCAGUUACAUUAUUACGCGAUUAUUACAUAAGAAAUAGUACCUCUUUGAUCCCAAAUACGGAUGCUCUCGUCAACAACAGUUUGAAUAACGGAGGCCAUGGUUACACGACAGUAACUGGAAAUGAACUGAUUUGGAUGCCUCGGUGUCCUGAUGGUGUCUAGUCCUGAAUGUCUGUUCUGCUGUGAGCCAUUUUACACAUACUGUAUUAAAGUUUCCAAAGAACCUCCUCUCUCUCUCCCCCCUUCCAUGUUUUCCGUGAGCUAGUUUUUCAUGAUUUCUGCUUUGAAUCGUAUUUGAAUUGUUUCUUUUGUUUUUCUUUUAGCAGUUUUUUUUUACUAACAAGAGCUGGAGUUAGUUACAUCGACCUAGAAUUAUUUUUUAGAGGUCUAUCUUUCCCUAUUUGAUUGAUUUUCAGCGUGAGCGUGCUUUUAAGUCAUACUUAGUUUUCUCCUUUUAAUUUUUCUCCAUUGUUCAAAGCUACAAACAGAUCGAUGCAUGUAGCCUAUUUAAUUAAUUUAACGCCACCUAAGCCAAGAAGUGAUGAACAGGUUAACUUAUUUUCUCUGUUUUUACAGAGAAUCAAUUGAGCGAAGAAUUUAGUUACAGGAGAUGGAAAACAAGCCGGAGGACAAAAAAAAAAAACAAAACGAGAUUAAAGAUUAAUUUUUGUAAUGACAUACAACGAGUUUUGAGAAAAUGGGGCGUCACAACUGCAUUUCGUUUGCGCUAAAUUAACAGUACCUGGCGCCAUAGUCCGAACUUGUUUUUCGUCUCUGAAAGAACGGGAUGCCAAAUUCUUGAAGAAAAAAAAAGUCCCGAAAAAACAGGAUUGCCAAUCAAAUGAUUGUUCUACAUGUAAAAAGAAGACGACUGUACGAGAUAUAAGGAUUUGAUUAUGCCUGUUAUUUGGAUUUAGGCAACUUAUGUCUCGGUUUUACAAAGAGUUUGAACUGGAUCCAAAAAUGCAACUGAAGUAGGACGGGCAAUCCACGUAUGCGUAUGUGUGUCAUUCAGUUUUGGGUUCAAACUGCUAUGGGUGGUAAAAAAACAGGUCAAAAUUUAUCCUAUUUUUGUUUCUUAUUUAAAAACAAAUCAGACCAUUUUUCUAACCCUUUUUAUUUUUUAGUUUUGAAAAUAGAGUUGCAACAAUUUUAUUUAAAGGCGAAAAUAAUUAACACACAGACAAAACUCUACAUAUGUUUCUUGUGGUUGCUGACAUUGUUGUUGUUAUUGAUGUCUGACUUUGAAGAGGAAUCCAUUUUCUUAUUUUUGCGGUACGUGUGUCUAUAGAAGUUGAGAAACAUCAGAAGGAAAAACACUUCGUGGAUGCCAAUCCAACAGGACAUAAGGUAAGGGAAAUCGCAGUCAAUAAAGAGCAAUUGGAAACAGUGAAUGGACGCAGCAAUGAAUUGAACCAUCUGAAAAGUGGUAAGGUAUUUCUUCCAUCCAAGGUAUUUUUGAACUUGUGGCCCCAUCGCCGCCAAGAAGUAAUAGAAAUACAUGACAACAUGCACAAGCGAAUUGAGAAAUGCGAAAAAUGAGCCGUGGCCUCCACAAACGAAACGGAUCCCCGGCCACAAAGUGGUAGGAAUCCAGCCGUGGUGUAUAAUGUGAAGCCACGUGAUUUGAUUAUUUUUCUUGCGUAGGAUGAAGAAAAAUGUGUCGAAUAAGUCGACGAACUUUGAAAGGUAGAACACGUAACAUGCUCUAAGAACCCGAACAGCUGCUUCGUCAUACGAAUAGUCAACUGGUUGGCAGACAAAACUGUAAUUCCCGCUGAGCCAUCCGUAGCGGCUUAGUUCGUAGAACACCCAGACAUUGACGACAAUCUGAAAGAGGUUGUAGAACAGUAAAACUCGUCGCAAGUCAUACGGUGGCCGGUUUUCCAUAAAUUUUGGCCCCAAAACUUUGACGAUAAAGAUGUAAGCCAGGCAAAUUGCCAUCGCAGGUAAAGGGGAGCUCAUCAAUGGCCAGCCUUCCACUCUCGCAUCUAAAAAUGAACAGGAAUCAAUUAUCAUUUUUUUUUUUUUGUAAACUAAAAUUGCACAGAUGACAUAAAAACGACGAAGAAGAUUUUCCCACCUCUCUGUUCCCAUAACUUGUUGGUAUAAUAGGCGAUGGAGUCAACAAGCGCAGCCAUUUUUAGGCAAAGCAAUUCUCGGUUUUUCAAACUUUUUUUUUUGACGAAUGUGAAAAACGGUGCGAUUUUCAGUAUGUGGUUGUCAUAAGAGAGGCCAAGAGGUGUUGCUCAAGAGCUCCCCGGAAUGUGAUGGACUAUUACGCGUCGGUUUUUAUGUCUCCUUUAUAUAGCCUUCCACCAGUUCUACGAGAACAAAGCAAGAUGUAUCCACUGGUUCGAUCUACCUGUGCUACACAAAAUAGAUCAUUUGAAUGAACCUUUCACUUCCGCUAACCUCAAUUAAUCCCGUCCAACUAGUUUUCCCGGUUGACUUUCAUUGCACCGUAUAAACUGUAGUCCACACGAUUUCAACGAAAAAAAAUGACAAAAGGGGGUCGUUUCGGAGAAGAUCCAUAAGGAGGUUUCAAAAUUGUUUGCUUCUGCAUUUGUUAGCCACCUGAGCAGCCACUAAACGAUCGUGAUCAACGAAUUGUUAUUGUAGAUUAUUUCUUAUGUCUGAUUCUUCUGGUCUAAUGCGAUGUCUGGUUAUAUAAGAUUUCCGCUUUCACGUCCUAGAACAGGUGUUUCAGAUUAGUAAGACUAAGCAUGUAUUUUCGAAAUAAACUUUCACAUUCACAAAUUUUCGUUGAACGAAAGUGAAACACCAUUUUUGUAAAAUUUGAGAAAAGCAACUGAAUAGAGACACUGAUGUGAAUUCCCUUUCGUUUUUGCUUCUCCUAAAUACCACGAGGAGUUCGAGGAAAAUACACUGAUGUUUACAUUUC
rnacentral:lncRNA from 1 species